rnacentral:rRNA from 1 species
GUAGGUGGCAAGCGUUGUCCGGAAUUAUUGGGGCGUAAAGCGCGCGCAGGCGGUUCUUUAAGUCUGAUGCGAAAGCCCACGGGCUCAACCGUGGAGGGUCAUUGGAAACUGGAGAACUUGAGUACAGAAGAGGAAAGCGGAAUUCCACGUGUAGCGGUGAAAUGCGUAGAGAUGUGGAGGAACACCAGUGGCGAAGGCGGCUUUCUGGUCUGUAACUGACGCUGAGGCGCGAAAGCGUGGGGAGCAAACAGGAUUAGAUACCCUGGUAGUCCACGCCGUAAACGAUGAGUGCUAAGUGUUAGGGGGUUUCCGCCCCUUAGUGCUGCAGCUAACGCAUUAAGCACUCCGCCUGGGGAGUACGGCCGCAAGGCUG